rnacentral:rRNA from 1 species
GGAAACGACUGCUAAUACCGCAUACGCCCUACGGGGGAAAGGAGGGGACCUUCGGGCCUUCCGCGAUUGGAUGAACCUAGGUGGGAUUAGCUAGUUGGUGAGGUAAUGGCUCACCAAGGCGACGAUCCCUAGCUGGUCUGAGAGGAUGAUCAGCCACACUGGAACUGAGACACGGUCCAGACUCCUACGGGAGGCAGCAGUGGGGAAUAUUGCACAAUGGGCGAAAGCCUGAUGCAGCCAUGCCGCGUGUGUGAAGAAGGCCUUCGGGUUGUAAAGCACUUUCAGCGAGGAGGAAAGGUUAAGUCUUAAUACGGCUUAGCUGUGACGUUACUCGCAGAAGAAGCACCGGCUAACUUCGUGCCAGCAGCCGCGGUAAUACGAGGGGUGCAAGCGUUAAUCGGAAUUACUGGGCGUAAAGCGUACGCAGGCGGUUUGUUAAGCAAGAUGUGAAAGCCCCGGGCUCAACCUGGGAACUGCAUUUUGAACUGGCAAACUAGAGUCUUGUAGAGGGGGGUAGAAUUUCAGGUGUAGCGGUGAAAUGCGUAGAGAUC